GCUGCUCAGUGUCUCUAUACUAUAGACUAGAGGCUCAUUUAUCUCGAAAGAAGUGAAUCAUGCAUCGGUCUAUCUAGAUUGAUCACCAUCCCCAUGACUAUCCUAUGAUUGGGAGUAAUUUAAGAAUUGAUUAUACAAACCUCUAAUUCUUAAUAAUUGAUAACAUGUAUCAUAACAUCAAUUUCAUGAAUGAUUCAAGGACAUAUAAUAUUUGAAUAAAAAAGUUUAUAUUUUAUUGAUCAAAUCAAUAGUUUAAGUAUAAAUUU
rnacentral:lncRNA from 1 species